rnacentral:rRNA from 1 species
CAGUAGCCACGGGAAUACGUAGGGUGCAAGCGUUAUCCGGAAUUAUUGGGCGUAAAGAGCUCGUAGGCGGUUUGUCGCGUCUGCUGUGAAAACUGGAGGCUCAACCUCCAGCCUGCAGUGGGUACGGGCAGACUAGAGUGCGGUAGGGGAGAUUGGAAUUCCUGGUGUAGCGGUGGAAUGCGCAGAUAUCAGGAGGAACACCGAUGGCGAAGGCAGAUCUCUGGGCCGUAACUGACGCUGAGGAGCGAAAGCGUGGGGAGCGAACAGGAUUAGAUACCCCCGUAGUCCCUGUCUCUUAUAC